rnacentral:rRNA from 1 species
GACGAACGCUGGCGGCGUGCUUAACACAUGCAAGUCGAACGGAAAGGCCCUGCUUUUGUGGGGUGCUCGAGUGGCGAACGGGUGAGUAACACGUGAGUAACCUGCCCUUGACUUUGGGAUAACUUCAGGAAACUGGGGCUAAUACCGGAUAGGAGCUCCUGCUGCAUGGUGGGGGUUGGAAAGUUUCGGCGGUUGGGGAUGGACUCGCGGCUUAUCAGCUUGUUGGUGGGGUAGUGGCUUACCAAGGCUUUGACGGGUAGCCGGCCUGAGAGGGUGACCGGGGCGGGGGGGGACGAGGGGACGGCCCCGCGUGGGAGGAGCGGCGGGAGGGGGGGAACGAGCGCGCGGGGAGGAAGCCGGCGGCAGACGCGCGGGGUGGGAGACGACGGGUGGGGGGUGGGAAUCCGCUGCGGCGUGGGAGGGAGGGGGGUGGACGGCGAUGAGGAAGGAAGCACGGGCUACGGAGGUACAAGCGGCCGCGGGAAGAGCAGGAGGAGCAGACUCAGAACC